rnacentral:lncRNA from 1 species
CCUAUCCUAAGAUGUCUUAAUCCAUAAUGCCAUAAUUUUUAUCUUAGAUGUCAUAAUUUUAUCAAAAUAUUGGAGUAUUUUUAUCAUUCAAAAUUUCAAACAAAAAAAUAAAAUUUUGAACAUUAAAUAGAUAUUAAAUAUAUAUUUAAAAACGAUGAUCAUGUCGUUCGAUAGAAUGAAACGGUGCGUUCUAUAUCAGAUUUUCUACACCAC